rnacentral:rRNA from 1 species
CCUACGGGUGGCUGCAGUGAGGAAUAUUGGUCAAUGGGCGCGAGCCUGAACCAGCCAAGUAGCGUGAAGGAUGACUGCCCUACGGGUUGUAAACUUCUGUUAUAAAGGAAUAAAGUGAGGCACGUGUGCCUUUUUGUAUGUACUUUAUGAAUAAGGAUCGGCUAACUCCGUGCCAGCAGCCGCGGUAAUACGGAGGAUCCGAGCGUUAUCCGGAUUUAUUGGGUUUAAAGGGAGCGUAGAUGGGUUGUUUAGUCAGUGGUGAAAGUUUGCGGCUCAACCGGAAAAUUGCAAUUGCUACUGGCAGCCUUGAGUACAGUUGAGGUAGGCUGAAUUCGUGUUGUAGCGGU